rnacentral:rRNA from 1 species
AAUUCGAUUAGAGUUUGAUCCUGGCUCAGAUUGAACGCUGGCGGCAGGCCUAACACAUGCAAGUCGAGCGGAUGAAGAGGGCUUGCUCUCUGAUUCAGCGGCGGACGGGUGAGUAAUGCCUAGGAAUCUGCCUGGUAGUGGGGGACAACGUUUCGAAAGGAACGCUAAUACCGCAUACGUCCUACGGGAGAAAGCAGGGGACCUUCGGGCCUUGCGCUAUCAGAUGAGCCUAGGUCGGAUUAGCUAGUUGGUGAGGUAAUGGCUCACCAAGGCGACGAUCCGUAACUGGUCUGAGAGGAUGAUCAGUCACACUGGAACUGAGACACGGUCCAGACUCCUACGGGAGGCAGCAGUGGGGAAUAUUGGACAAUGGGCGAAAGCCUGAUCCAGCCAUGCCGCGUGUGUGAAGAAGGUCUUCGGAUUGUAAAGCACUUUAAGUUGGGAGGAAGGGUUGUAGAUUAAUACUCUGCAAUUUUGACGUUACCGACAGAAUAAGCACCGGCUAACUCUGUGCCAGCAGCCGCGGUAAUACAGAGGGUGCAAGCGUUAAUCGGAAUUACUGGGCGUAAAGCGCGCGUAGGUGGUUUGUUAAGUUGGAUGUGAAAGCCCCGGGCUCAACCUGGGAACUGCAUUCAAAACUGACAAGCUAGAGUAUGGUAGAGGGUGGUGGAAUUUCCUGUGUAGCGGUGAAAUGCGUAGAUAUAGGAAGGAACCNCCAGUGGCNAAGGCGACCACCUGGACUGAUACUGACACUGAGGUGCGAAAGCGUGGGGAGCAAACAGGAAUUAAGAUACCCUGUUAGUCCCAC